GACGAACGCUGGCGGCGUGCCUAAUACAUGCAAGUUGAGCGCUGAAGGCUGGUACUUGUACCAACUGGGUGAGCCGCGAACGGGUGAGUAACGCGUGGGGAAUCUGCCUUUGAGCGGGGGACAACAUUUGGAAACGAAUGCUAAUACCGCAUAAAAACUUUAAACACAAGUUUUAAGUUUGAAAGAUGCAAUUGCAUCACUCAAAGAUGAUCCCGCGUUGUAUUAGCUAGUUGGUGAGGUAAAGGCUCACCAAGGCGAUGAGACAUAGCCGACCUGAGAGGGUGAUCGGCCACAUGGGGACUGAGACACGGCCAAAACUCCUGCGGGAGGCCGCAGUAGGGAAUCUUCGGCAAUGGACGAAAGUCUGACCGAGCAGCGCCGCGUGAGUGAAGAAGGUUUUCGGAUCGUAAAACUCUGUUGGUAGAGAAGAACGGUGGUGGGAGUGGAAGGCGCAUCAAGGGACGGUAACUACCCAGAAAGGGACGGCUAACUACGU
rnacentral:rRNA from 1 species